rnacentral:rRNA from 1 species
CCUACGGGAGGCAGCAGUGAGGAAUAUUAGUCAAUGGACGAGAGUCUGAACCAGCCAAGUAGCGUGAAGGAUGACUGCCCUAUGGGUUGUAAACUUCUUUUAUAUGGGAAUAAAACGUUCCACGUGUGGGAUUUUGUAUGUACCAUAUGAAUAAGGAUCGGCUAACUCCGUGCCAGCAGCCGCGGUAAUACGGAGGAUCCGAGCGUUAUCCGGAUUUAUUGGGUUUAAAGGGAGCGUAGGUGGAUUGUUAAGUCAGUUGUGAAAGUUUGCGGCUCAACCGUAAAAUUGCAGUUGAAACUGGCAGUCUUGAGUACAGUAGAGGUGGGCGGAAUUCGUGGUGUAGCGGUGAAAUGCUUAGAUAUCACGAAGAACUCCGAUUGCGAAGGCAGUUCACUGGACUGCAACUGACACUGAGGCUCGAAAGUGUGGGUAUCAAACAGGAUUAGAUACCCGAGUAGUC